rnacentral:snRNA from 9 species
AUACUUACUUGGCGUAGGGGAUACCGUGAUCAUGCAGGCGGUUCGCCCUGGGCGAGACUGCUCCAUUGCACUGCGGAGUGGAUGACCCUUUCGAUUAUUUUUAUUUUUAUGCAUCAAUA